AUAGUACUCCCUCCGUUAAAAAAUAUUUGUCUUUAAAAUGAAAAAAGGGAUGUAUAUAGAACUAAAAUACAUCUAAAUACAUCCUCUUUAUCAUUUUGACGACAAGUAUUUUCGAAUGAAGGAAGUAGUAG
rfam:Triticum aestivum genome assembly, contig: Triticum_aestivum_CS42_TGACv1_scaffold_542552_6DS